GAUGAACGCUGGCGGCGUGCCUAAUACAUGCAAGUCGAGCGAACGGACGAGAAGCUUGCUUCUCUGAUGUUAGCGGCGGACGGGUGAGUAACACGUGGAUAACCUACCUAUAAGACUGGGAUAACUUCGGGAAACCGGAGCUAAUACCGGAUAAUAUUUUGAACCGCAUGGUUCAAAAGUGAAAGACGGUCUUGCUGUCACUUAUAGAUGGAUCCGCGCUGCAUUAGCUAGUUGGUAAGGUAACGGCUUACCAAGGCAACGAUGCAUAGCCGACCUGAGAGGGUGAUCGGCCACACGGGAACUGAGACACGGUACAGACUCCUACGGGAGGAAGCAGUAGGGAAUCUUCCGCAAUGGGCGAAAGCCUGACGGAGCAACGCCGCGUGAGUGAUGAAGGUCUUCGGAUCGUAAAACUCUGUUAUUAGGGAAGAACAUAUGUGUAAGUAACUGUGCACAUCUUGACGGUACCUAAUCAGAAAGCCACGGCUAACUACGUG
rnacentral:rRNA from 1 species